UACGUAGGGGGCAAGCGUUGUCCGGAUUUAUUGGGCGUAAAGAGCGUGUAGGCGGCCAAGCAGGUCCGCUGUGAAAACUCGAGGCUCAACCUCGAGACGUCGGUGGAAACCGUUUGGCUAGAGUCCGGAAGAGGAGAGUGGAAUUCCCGGUGUAGCGGUGAAAUGCGCAGAUAUCGGGAAGAACACCCGUGGCGAAGGCGGCUCUCUGGGACGGUACUGACGCUGAGACGCGAAAGCGUGGGGAGCGAACUGG
rnacentral:rRNA from 1 species